UACGGAGGGGGCUAGCGUUGUUCGGAAUUACUGGGCGUAAAGCGCACGUAGGCGGCUUUGUAAGUUAGAGGUGAAAGCCCGGGGCUCAACUCCGGAAUUGCCUUUAAGACUGCAUCGCUAGGAAUUGUGGAGAGGUCAAGUGGAAUUCCGAGUGUAGAGGUGAAAUUCGUAGAUAUUCGCAAGAACACCAGUGGCGAAGGCGGCUCACUGGCCCGGUACUGACGCUGAGGCACGGAAAGCGUGGGGAGCAAACAGGG
rnacentral:rRNA from 1 species